rnacentral:piRNA from 1 species
GUGCUCUGAAAUGGCCAUGGGGC